CGGGGUUUGCGGCUUCCCCGCUAGAUGGGUGACCAUCCAAUUGCUGC
rnacentral:ncRNA from 1 species